CCAAUAGCGUAUAUUAAAGUUGUUGCAGUUAAAAAGCUCGUAGUUGAAUUUCGGGGUCAGUAGGUUGGUCAUGCCUUCGGUAUGUACUGGUCUCACUGAUUCCUCCUUCUUGAAGAUCCGUAAUGUCAUUAAUUUGGUGUUGCGGGGAAUCAGGACUGUUACUUUGAAAAAAUUAGAGUGUUUAAAGCAGGCUAACGCUUGAAUACAUUAGCAUGGAAUAAUGAAAUAGGACGUUUGAUCCUAUUUUGUUGGUUUCUAGGAUUGACGUAAUGAUUAAUAGGGAUAGUUGGGGGCAUUAGUAUUCAAUUGUCAGAGGUGAAAUUCUUGGAUUUAUUGAAGACUAACUACUGCGAAAGCAUUUGCCAAGGAUGUUUUCAUUAAUCAAGAACGAAAGUUAGGGGAUCGAAGACGAUCAGAUACCGUCGUAGUCUUAACCAUAAACUAUGCCGACUAGGGAUCGGAUGAUGUUAAUUUUUUAAUGACUCAUUCGGCGCCUUACG
rnacentral:rRNA from 1 species